AGGGCAGUAGCUCGGUGGUAGAGCUACCGCUUCGUAUGAGGGAAGACCUGGGUUCGAUUCCCGGCUGCUUGC
rnacentral:tRNA from 1 species